UUUUAGACACAAUAUCAACAUCAUGGACAAUUUUGUUAUUUCAACCUCAAAUCAAUGGCAGUUUGGUAAAGCCAAUACACACACUCUCUUCUUUUCUCUCUACCAUGCCUGUUCUCUCUUUUGUUUCUCUCUGAACUAAAUCACCACCACCACCAUCCUCAUACCACCUCCGUCCUCCCACCACCGCGGUCACCAACCUCCGACCUCCAUCCAACACCACACCUGUUCAUUCUCUCUCUCUCUCUCUCCCUCUCUCUGAACUCUCGCCGUCAUCCAGACCUCCGCACCACCGCAUCCUUCCACCGUCACAACAACCACCAUUCUCAUCAGUCAUCAUCCUCCAUCGUCGUCACCACCAUCGGACGGAAGUUAAUCGAAGAGGGAUCGGAGGUUGAGUACGGUUGUGUGACAGAGAGAGAUUGAAGGUUGAAGAAGAGAGAGAGAGAGAGAGUGAGGGUUGCGGACUUGAAGUAUAGGGGAAGGAAGAGGGAAAGA
rnacentral:lncRNA from 1 species